CCUACGGGUGGCAGCAGUGAGGAAUAUUGGUCAAUGGCCGAGAGGCUGAACAAGCCAAGUCGCGGGAGGGAAGACGGCCCUACGGGUUGUAAACCUCUUUUGUCGGGGAGCAAAGCGAGUCACGUGUGACACAUGGAGAGUAGCCGAAGAAAAAGCAUCGGCUAACCCCGUGCGAGCAGAAGCGGCAAUACGGAGGAGGCGAGCGUUAUCCGGAUUUAUUGGGUGUAAAGGGUGAGCAGGCGGAGGUGAAAGUCGGCGGUCAAAGUGAGGAGCUUAAACGCAUACAGCCAUUGAAACUGGACAGCUAGAGUGCGGGAGAGGAUCGUGGAAUGCGAGGUGUAGCGGUGAAAUGCGUAGAUAUAUGGAGGAACACCAGUGGCGAAGGCGACGUUCUGGCCUGCAACUGACGCUCAGGCACGAAAGCGUGGGGAGCAAACAGGAUUAGAUACCCGUGUAGUC
rnacentral:rRNA from 1 species